AGAGUUUGAUUCUGGCUCAGAACGAACGCUGGCAGCGUGGAUUAGGCAUGCAAGUCGAACGGGAAGCCGUUGAUCAAUUCUUCGGAAGAGUGAUUCGGUGGAGAGUGGCGGAAGGGUGAGUAACGCGUGGGCAAUCUACCUCCAAGUUGGGGAUAAUUCCGCGAAAGCGGGACUAAUACCGAAUGUGGUCGUAUGUCGCAUGGCAGACUGACUAAAGGUGGGGAUCCUUCGGGACCUGCCGCUGGGAGAGGAGCCCGCGUGCCAUCAGCUUGUUGGUGAGGUAACGGCCCACCAAGGCUUACGGCUAGCUGGUCUGAGAGGAUGAUCAGCCACACUGGGACUGAGACACUGCCCAGACUCCUACGGGAGGCUGCAGUCGAGGAUCAUUGUCAAUGCGCGGAAGCGUGAACAUGCGACGCUGCGUGGAGGAUGACGGCUUUCGGGUUGUAAACUCCUGUCAUGAGGGAAAAACGAUCCUGCAAUCAAUAUCUGCGGGAAGUGAUGGUACCUCAAGAGGAAGCCACGGCUAACUCUGUGCCAGCAGCCGCGGUAAUACAGAGGUGGCGAGCGUUGUUCGGAUUUACUGGGCGUAAAGGGUGCGUAGGCGGCUUCGUGUGUCGGAUGUGAAAUCCCACGGCCCAACCGUGGAACUGUGUUCGAAACUGCGGAGAUAGAGUGCAGGAGAGGAGAGCGGAAUUCUUGGUGUAGCGGUGAAAUGCGUUGAUAUCAAGAAGAACACCGGUGGCGAAAGCGGCUCUCUGGAAUGUUACUGACGCUGAGGCACGAAAGCUGGGGGAGCGAACAGGAUUAGAUACCCUGGUAGUCCCAGCUGUAAACGGUGUGCACUUGGUGUGGGAGGUAUUGACCCCUUCCGUGCCGGAGCUAACGCGUUAAGUGCACCGCCUGGGGAGUACGGCCGCAAGGCUAAAACUCAAAGAAAUUGACGGGGGCCCGCACAAGCGGAGGAGCAUGUGGCUUAAUUCGAUGCAACGCGAAGAACCUUACCAGGGCUUGACAUCUACCUGCAUGCCCCCUGAAAGGGGGGAGGCCUUCGAGGGUGGUAGACAGGUGCUGCAUGGCUGUCGUCAGUUCGUGCCGUGAGGUGUUGGGUUAAGUCCCGCAACGAACGCAACCCUUGUGGUUAGUUGCAACUGCAGGUGAUAAGCCUGCGGGCACUCUAGCCAGACUGCCUGUACAAGCAGGAGGAAGGUGGGGAUGACGUCAAGUCAGUAUGGCCCUUACGCCCUGGGCUGCACACGUGCUACAAUGGUCGGUACAGAAGGAUGCAAUACCGCGAGGUGGAGCUAAUCCCCAAAACCGGCCCCAGUUCGGAUUGGAGUCUGAAACUCGACUCCAUGAAGCCGGAUUCGCUAGUAACGGCGUAUCAGCUACGGCGCCGUGAAUACGUUCCCGGGCCUUGUACACACCGCCCGUCACAUCAUGAAAGCCGUCUGCACCCGAAGUCGCUGAGCCAAUCCCGCCCUCGGGCGGGAAGGCAGGCGCCGAAGGUGUGGGUGGUGAUUGGGAUCG
rnacentral:rRNA from 1 species